rnacentral:rRNA from 1 species
UACGGAGGGAGCUAGCGUUGUUCGGAAUUACUGGGCGUAAAGCGCACGUAGGCGGCUUUCUAAGUCAGGGGUGAAAUCCUGGAGCUCAACUCCAGAACUGCCUUUGAUACUGGAGAGCUCGAGUCCGGAAGAGGUGAGUGGAACUCCGAGUGUAGAGGUGAAAUUCGUAGAUAUUCGGAAGAACACCAGUGGCGAAGGCGGCUCACUGGUCCGGUACUGACGCUGAUGUGCGAAAGCGUGGGGAGCAAACAGGU